CCAGACUGAUCCUCAGGCUCUUAGGGUAUGUUAACAGUGCUUAACAACCAGAGCAGGAAGCAGGGCAGGAGACUAAAGGCUGGUUUAUGUCACCUUAUAUGUAUCCAUUGGUGAGUUUGGCUGUUAGAGUGUUUGUGUUGAGUUUAAUUCAAACACUAAAGCAGUUCUGUGCCUUUUCAGGGAGUGCACAGAAACUUUAUUCUAAUACAGCUGGAACAGCUGGAGCAUUAGGAUCUGCUGCCUCUGCACAACAAGGGUGAUAUUUUAUUUUAAAAUUUAUCAACUACUUUUAGUUUUACUAUUACAUUUUGACGAUGAUAUACUUAGUAUUUGAUAUCGCACAGUCUGCGUUUUUCCUUUCACAGUGUUUUCUGAAGUUGUCACAAGUACAUUCCCAAAUUAUUUUUCUCAUUAUUGAAUAAAUUACUUCCAAGUAAAAUAAUACCAACUACAACACUUUGGUGGUUUAAAAUUUAUGAAGAAAAAAAAAACAAGCAAACAACAACAACAAAACACCAACACCUUGAAAUAGUUUGAUGAUGAUGGUGGAAAAUAAGAUCCCUUCUUUAAAAAGACACAGAGAUGUAAGCGAAGCCCUGCAGAAAAACUGACUUCAGAGCAAUGUGUACUUUCAGAGAGGAUGAGAAAAAAUAAAUUCACAAGCAAAACAAAAAGAAUAUUUGACUGUGGACAUGCAAAAAGGUUAUUGAUUCCACAGCUAAACACUCUGAUUUGCAUGCUCUCCCCCUGCCCCCCAACAACAAAAGUACCAAAGAAAACAACAUCAACAAAGCAAACAAACAAAACCACCACCAAGAACAGCAAAACACAGCAGCAUAAGCAUGAGAAUUCAUGUAACCUCUUUUCAUAAAUCCUCAAGACUCUCUUUCCUCCUGGUUUUCACAAUUCAUGAACAGCAACUUUGUUACUGUGCUUCAGUGACACUAGGUGGCACUUCAGAGUAGAGCUAGGAUCAGAAAGACUUUUGUAAUCUUUUCUGGGUAUUAUGUGUAUGAAAUUAAAGAUGCAUAAAAGUAAUGUUAGCCUCAAACAGAAACAAUAAAUCAGAUUUUGGGGUAUUUUACAUAUAAGACUAAGAAAUAUCCAAUACUAUCUGUCUGAGAAAAAUAAAAUAAAAUAAAAUAAAAAAAUAAAAAUAAACAGAAAAGGAUUUUAACAGAUUUAUUCACUGUUUUAGGUUGAAAAAGCGAGGCUAUGGAACAAAUAUCUAUUGCCAGACACUGUAUUUAGAGGAUUUGAGAAGCAGUCCAGGGAGGGAACUGAAGAAAAACUAUAGGCCUGGAAAUCAGAGCAAUGUGGUCUGUGAAGUAUUUGAUCUGAUACUAAGGAUUUAAAAGUUAAUCCUUUCCUGGAAAUUAAAUUAGAUUUAAUGUCAUUUAUAUAUCAGUAAUCAAGUACGUGGUCACUGUCCAUAACCAGGUGGACUUUAGAAGAGACAAAUCAGCUUUAUUGUGGCCUAUAAAGCAAGCAUAUAUGAAGGGUUUAAUUUGGAGGUUUUCUUGUUAAGUUUUGAAAAAUAAAAUUAUUUACCUUUAUUUGGUUUUGCUAACAUAAAAAUGUAUAUAUAUCUUAGGAAAAUCCUAAGGCUGUGGGAUAUCAUUAAUUAUUAUAAUAAUAAUAAUAAAAAGGGGGGGGGGGCGGUGACAAAGGGAAGGUUUCUACAAAAGCAAAUAACAACUUCAAACAUUAUCAUCAAGCUAAAGUAAGGCAUUAAAAAGGUGAAGCAUUGCUUCUUCAAGAUAUUGUCUUUGUUUCCAACUUAUUUAGUCAAUUCAGUGAGAAAUUAGAAAGAGAUUUUUUUUUCAGUUAAAAACCUCCUGCAAGGAUUUUAAUGAGCAUUCUAAUAAGAUUAAUCUAAUAAGAUUAAUGAAUGAGGGAAAAAUGAUUCAUUUAAAUAUCAUAAAACAGUAGAAAAUAUUGGCCAUAACUCUGAAAAGGCCUUUGAAUGAGAGGAGAUGAAAUUGAAGCUUUUAUUCAGGUUUGUUCCUAAGUGCUGUGACAAAUUAUUGGCAUCAUUAAAGAUGACAAAAACACAUUUUUGUCUAAUUUUAUUACUACGUCUUCUUCAUCAUAAAAUACAGUUAUGACAAAAUAUGUCUUUAAAAGCAAAAAACAGGCAAGGUGGGGUUUUGUGUGUGUAUGUGUGUAUCUUUUUAUUAUUUCGUAUUCAGAGGAAGCAAUAAAAAGUUGCUGUACAGCAGUUAAAUCCUUACAUCAUUCUUGCAGCUGAGGAUCUGUCACUAUACCUUCGUAUUCUCAUAUCUCUUGUUUUCACCAGCUUGAAUUUUCAGAUUAUGAGGAUAUGUUUUUGGAUAGGCUUCCUAGAAGAAUCUAUCCUAAAAUCUGAGAGGUGGUCAUAUGUUUUGCCUGUAGUGAUCCUUCUGUGGUCCAGGGUUGCAGGAGGGGCUAGAAUACCUCAGCAUGCCCCAGAAAACAAGUAUUUUAUUCCUUUAUGGGAACAAAAUGAGAGUAAUCCCAUGUUUGAUGUGGUUGAUUACUAUCUUCAUUAUUUAUGAAGGGACUGGAGAUGGACUGUUUAGACUAAAGUUUUUCUAUUUUAUAUCUCAUUUUUUUCUACCUGACUGUUUAUACCUUAUUGUAAGCCCUUCCCUUCCCUUCCCUUCCCUUCCCUUCCCUUCCCUUCCCUUCCCUUCCCUUCCCUUCCCUUCCCUUCCCUUCCCUUCCCUUCCCUUCCCUUCCCUUCCCUUCCCUUCCCUUCCCUUCCCUUCCCUUCCCUUCCCUUCCCUUCCCUUCCCUUCCCUUCCCUUCCCUUCCCUUCCAUCUGUUCUGUAUUUAAAAAAAAAAAAAAAAGUUUUAAAAGUAUUGGUCUUCCCACUGCUUUGAAGUCUUUGCAGAUGCUGCAUGUAGGUUGGACCCAGUAUAGGGUUCUGUCAGUUACAUAUUGCAGAGUUGGCUGCAUUAUUUCUGGAAAUUAAGAGCAUGUUUGCCUUCGGAAUUGAUCAACUACGAUGAUCUUGCUUGAGUCUCAUGCUAUAGGAAUUACUUACUGUCUUUUAUUAUGGAGAACUGGGAAUAACGAAAAUCCCAUUAUACUUCCAGUCCUUUAUUGAUGGCAGAGAAUGUACUAUAUGAGGAAUACCUAGUGCUUAAGAAUAGAAGGCAAGUAAAUUUGGUUUAUUGGUAUUGUAUAGCUAUUACACAGGCAGAGGAGGACCAUUUUCAGAUAUUUUCCUUUGGACUUAAAGUUGCUUCUAGUUUGAAAGAACAGCCUUAGUCUGUAGAGAUUUUUAAAACUAUGGAGAGAAAAAAGGGAAGGUUGUAUACAUGUUCACAUGAAGCUUUAUGUAAUAGGUUAUUUGUAUUGUUUUUAAUAAAUAUCUUCUUGUAAGUUGUAUCUGUUAAUUCGAAUCAUGUGCAUAUUAACUGUGAAAUUCAAGCUAAAAAAGGCCUAUGUCCUCUAUUGAAAUGCCAAUGCUUAGCUUUCUACAUGAAGUCUCUCUCAGUAACAUCAGAAAUACAACUAAGAAUCAAAGGGUAAAACAAGCAAACAAACAAACUAAAACCUGCUGAUUUUCUGUAGGGUUUUCCCUCUGGUGACAGAAGGAUAUCAUAUACUGUCAGUUUUAUAGAUAAUAACACUCAGAAAAUGUGAAACCCAGAAGAAAAUCAGAUGCAAAUGUUGGAAAUCAUUAGUUUCCUCUUUAAAACAAAGGUGCCAACAUGCCAACACACUGUUUCUGUGUAAUGGCUUUAGUAAUUCAUUAUAAUUUCCAUUUAUUUAUUACUUAAAUAAACUACAACUAUAAACUAUAUUGACUUUCUAAAAAAAAAAAAAAAAAAAGAAGAAGAGAAAGGAGCUUUCACAUAACCUGUUCUUACUAUAGCUAUCACUACAUCAAAGAGGUUCAUUUUUUCUGGACUUAAAAUCAUAAUUAAAGUUAUGAUACAUUAUGUCAUGCUGUCAAAACAGAAAAUAAAGACAAACACUUUGGAGUUUGCCUGUAUUACAUUAUUCUUUAAUAUAAAUGACAUAUAUGUUUUACAAAUUAGAGAGAUUGGCUUUGGAGAAUUAAGAGGCUGCAGAAGAUUCUUUUAAGGUGACAUUUUGAUUGAGUAUAUGUUUAGCUUUGUAGAUUGACAGUAGAAAUGUGCAGCCUACCUUUGAUGUGCUUGCUACCCAUUAGAAUGUGUUGAAGAAUCUCAAUUUGCAGAGAGCUUCAAAUCAUUCUCAGAAGAUACUUCUACAAAUGGUGUCCCAGCAAUGUCCAGAUAGGCCUUGCAGUUAUUACACUUUGUUUUUAUUUUUAUUUUUGCUAUUCUUAUGUUUUUGCUCAUAAUUUAAAUUCCACAAAUCCAUCAGAUGGGGAGCCUGCAUAUCUCUACUCGACAGUUAAAAACAGUGUUGAAGAACCCAAAUCAGUAAAUGAUGAUGACGAAUGUACAAUGUAGACCAAGUUAACAAGGAAUUGUUACUAUUUUUGCUUUAGAUAUAUACACGGAUUUCUAUCAAUGGCCAAACCCUAAUACCUUUUAAUUGAGCUCCAGACAUAGGUUAUAGGUUUUGUACUGCAGACUACUCAUUAUUUUGUUCACUAGGAUUACGUUAGACUAAUCCUGAAUAGCAAUGCUCUAAAAGAAUGGCAAACUUAAAAGAACUAUGUGUACAAUAUGAAUUUAUUUUUAUUUUUCCCAAAAUAAUGACAUUAGCAACAAUUUUAUUUGCCUUUGCUAAAUAGAUACAUUCAGAAUUAGCUUAGUAUUAUAGUGAUACUUUUAAACCUCCAGGGCUUGAAAUAAAUUUAAAGGAGGUAACUCUCACCUUCUCAAGUCUCAAAAUGACUUGAGAGUCCUUUUUUCCUCUAUUUGUCUUGUGUGGCUAUAAAAAUAUGCUCAAUCACUAUCUUUUUUUUUCUUUUUUAUAUAUCAUAACUUGACAAAUAUUUACUCCGAAUCUCAUAUACAGUGGAAUCUGAAAAACUGUAGCAUUCAGCAAACCAAAAAUUAC